UACGGAGGGUGCAAGCGUUAUCCGGAUUUACUGGGUUUAAAGGGUGCGUAGGUGGGUCUGUAAGUCAGUGGUGAAAUCUCCGAGCUUAACUCGGAAACUGCCAUUGAUACUAUAGGUCUUGAAUUAUCUGGAGGUGAGCGGAAUAUGUCAUGUAGCGGUGAAAUGCUUAGAUAUGACAUAGAACACCAAUUGCGAAGGCAGCUCACUACGGAUAUAUUGACACUGAGGCACGAAAGCGUGGGGGAUCAAACAGG
rnacentral:rRNA from 1 species